GUGGACGCCAGUCUGCGUGGAGCCGACCUUGAAAUACCACCCUUUAAUGUUUGAUGUUCUAACGUGGACCCGUUACCCGGGUUGCGGACAGUGUCUGGUGGGUAGUUUGACUGGGGCGGUCUCCUCCUAAAGAGUAACGGAGGAGCACGAAGGUUGGCUAAUCCUGGUCGGACAUCAGGAGGUUAGUGCAAUGGCAUAAGCCAGCUUGACUGCGAGCGUGACGGCGCGAGCAGGUGCGAAAGCAGGUCAUAGUGAUCCGGUGGUUCUGAAUGGAAGGGCCAUCGCUCAACGGAUAAAAGGUACUCCGGGGAUAACAGGCUGAUACCGCCCAAGAGUUCAUAUCGACGGCGGUGUUUGGCACCUCGAUGUCGGCUCAUCACAUCCUGGGGCUGAAGUAGGUCCCAAGGGUAUGGCUGUUCGCCAUUUAAAGUGGUACGCGAGCUGGGUUUAGAACGUCGUGAGACAGUUCGGUCCCUAUCUGCCGUGGGCGCUGGAGAACUGAGGGGGGCUGCUCCUAGUACGAGAGGACCGGAGUGGACGCAUCACUGGUGUUCGGGUUGUCAUGCCAAUGGCACUGCCCGGUAGCUAAAUGCGGAAGAGAUAAGUGCUGAAAGCAUCUAAGCACGAAACUUGCCCCGAGAUGAGUUCUCCCUGAGACUUAGAGUCUCCUGAAGGAACGUUGAAGACGACGACGUUGAUAGGCCGGGUGUGUAAGCGCAGCGAUGCGUUGAGCUAACCGGUACUAAUGAACCGUGAG
rnacentral:rRNA from 1 species